UGAAUACGAGAUGCUACGGCGUCGAAGCAGUGUAUGUCAGACUUCCAAGAAAAGCUCGCAAUGUCAUAAAUAAAGAAUGCCUGUACCAUAACCGACACAGGUGGGUAGGUAGAGUAUACUAAGGGGCGCGAGAUAACUCUCUCUAAGGAACUCGGCAAAAUAACUCCGUAACUUCGGGAGAAGGAGUGCCUUCUUUAAGAAGGUUGCAAUAACAAGAUCCAAGCAACUGUUUAUCAAAAACACAGGUCUCCGCUAAGUCGUAAGACGAUGUAUGGGGGCUGACGCCUGCCCAGUGCCAGAAGGUUAAAGAAGUUGGUUAGCUUUUGCGAAGCUGAUGACUGAAGCCCUGGUGAACGGCGGCCGUAACAAUAACGGUCCUAAGGUAGCGAAAUUCCUUGUCGGGUAAGUUCCGACCCGCACGAAAGGCGUAAUGAUUUGGAUACUGUCUCGGAGAGGGACUCGGUGAAAUAGACUUGUCUGUGAAGAUGCGGACUACCUGCACCAGGACAGAAAGACCCUAUGAAGCUUUACUGUAACUUGAAAUUGAAAUUGGACUUUAUUUGCGCAGUAUAGGUGGAAGGCGUUGAAAGUAAUCUUGCGGGAUUAGUGGAGCCAUCAGUGAGAUACCACUCCUAUAAUGUUAGAUUUCUAACUUUGGAUCAUGAUCUGGUCAAAGAACAGUUUCAGGCGGGCAGUUUGACUGGGGCGGUCGCCUCCCAAAUGGUAACGGAGGCGUACAAAGGUUUCCUCUGAACGGGUAGAAAUCGUAUCUAGAGUGUAAAGGCAUAAGGAAGCUUGACUGUGAGACCUACAAGUCGAGCAGGGACGAAAGUCGGUCUUAGUGAUCUGACGGUGCUGAGUGGAAAGGCCGUCACUCAACGGAUAAAAGUUACUCUAAGGAUAACAGGCUGAUCUCCCCCAAGAGUUCACAUCGACGGGGAGGUUUGGCACCUCGAUGUCGGCUCAUCGCAUCCUGGGGCGGUAGUACGUCCCAAGGGUUGGGCUGUUCGCCCAUGAAAGCGGUACGCGAGCUGGGUUCAGAACGUCGUGAGACAGUUCGGUCCAUAUCCGGUGUAGGCGUUAGAAUAUUGAGAGGAGCCUUCUUUAGUACGAGAGGACCGAGAAGGACAUACCUCUGGUGUACCAGUUAUCGUGCCAACGGUAAACGCUGGGUAGCUAUGUAUGGAGAGGAUAACCGCUGAAAGCAUCUAAGUGGGAAGCCCACCUCAAGAUGAGUAUUCUCAU
rnacentral:rRNA from 1 species